ensembl:lncRNA
CCCCCCCCCCCCCAGCGGGAGUAGACCAGCGUUCAGGUGGGGGUUGGAGCAGAGGUAGAACGGGGGAGGGAUGGAGGACCAGGUCCAUGUGGAAGUGGAUGGACAAGGGAGGGAGGCAGAGCUGGCUGAGCAGGGUGCCACAGCGGAGCAAAGAGCCAAGGCGGGGCCGGCAGAGCAGGAAGCCAGAGCGGAGCCGAAGAGCACCAGUGUGGAGCAGGCAAAGUAGAGAACCAGGUUGAGACUGGUGAGGCAGGAGCCCUCCAGGGUGGGGCAGAUGGAACUGGAGCCCACCGGGACGGAGCAGGCGGAGCCCACCAGGGUGGAGCAGAGGACCCCCACAGUUGAGCAGAUGGGACAGAAGCCCACCAGGGUGAAGCAGAGGACCACCACAGCUGAGCAGCUGGACCAAAAGCCCACCAGGGCAGAGCAGAGGACCACCACAGUGGAGUAGAUGGCACAGGAGAGCAAGUCUGGUCAGGUAGGACUGAAACAGAGAACAUAAACAGAUUAAUGGCAGCCUCCGUGGCCGUGAUAAGGCGGUUGGAGAGUUCCCAAAUGGCCUCCGUGGCCGUGACAGGACAGGCCGUGAGUUGGUGGACGGCCUCCGUGGCCGUGACAGGACAGGCCGUGAGUUCAUGGAUAGCUGAGACGUGACGAGGCUCUGGAAGCUCAGCUGAGACGUGACGAGGCUCUGGAAGCUCAGCUGAGACGUGACGAGGCUCUGGAAGCUCAGCUGAGACGUGACUUGAUUCAUGAUCACUUGUGAUUUGAUGUGACUCCUGAAGAUCAACCGUGACUUGAUUUUGGAAUCUCGUGCAGCGGCGCUGGGCUGGCGGCCAUCUCGUGCAGCGGCGCUGGUGGUUCAGGCUCCGCUGCUGACUGCGCUUGACAAUGUUGCCCCCCCCCCAAAAAAAAUUCUUUGGGGUUUCAGCGCUGUCUUCUGCCUCUCCCACAGUGAACAGAGAGUCACAUAACAGAAGAGCAUACUCCAUGAUGUCCCUUAAACUGCCAUUAAACUCCCCUCUAGGUAACAAUGACUUAACUGGGCCAUUGAGUCCAAAACGGAACCUUAAAAGUCCUUAAACAAAACUUUGUCAUAGAACGGUACUUGUUAUGAUAACUCACAAAACUAUUGAACAUACUCCUCAGUAGAUAGGCCUCCUUGACGAAGGUGUAAUAGCUGAUCUACUGGGUCAAUGAUAGAGCUGGAUAGUUGACACGCUGACCUAGAAGUGGGAACAGACAUUUCGGUAACGAGAGGAUACCGGGCUGCUGGAUCCUGGUAUGGCGAAGUCUUCUGUAACAUGGAGUCAGAGACGUUCGGAUCCAUUUGCAGUAGUUUAAUAUAGAAUGGUCAAACAGGCAGUAAUCCAAUAACAGCGCCAAGUGUGUAAAGGGAUAUCCAGAAUCAGUAACAGUACCAGGCAGAGGUCGGGGCAGGUGGCAGAGAAUCAAAGGCUGUAUACACAAUCCAAUAUCAGACACGGAAGGACCAGACACUAGGAAAGCCGCUCAGAAAUGCUAGACCAGG